rnacentral:rRNA from 1 species
GACGUAGGUGGCGAGCGUUGUCCGGAAUCACUGGGCGUAAAGGGCGCGUAGGUGGCCCGAUAAGUAGGGGGUGAAAUCUCGAGGCUCAACUUCGAGGCUGCCUCCUAAACUGUCGGGCUCGAGCAGAGUAGAGGCAGGUGGAAUUCCCGGUGUAGCGGUGGAAUGCGUAGAGAUCGGGAAGAACAUCGGUGGCGAAGGCGGCCUGCUGGGCUCUUGCUGACACUGAGGCGCGACAGCGUGGGGAGCAAACAGG